AACGACUCUCGGCAACGGAUAUCUCGGCUCUCGCAUCGAUGAAGAACGUAGCGAAAUGCGAUACUUGGUGUGAAUUGCAGAAUCCCGUGAACCAUCGAGUCUUUGAACGCAAGUUGCGCCCAAAGCCUUCGGGCCAAGGGCACGUCUGCCUGGGCGUCAC
rnacentral:rRNA from 1 species